rnacentral:rRNA from 1 species
AGGAUUCAGUCUGAAGUUGGCGUCGCGCUGGUCGGGGGCAUCCCCGGGGCCGUCCGACCGCGAAUGACAGACGCAUUUGUCUCCCGCCCGAAGGACGCCGCAGCCGGUCUGGCAUUGCAAACGUGACGGCCUGAAAGUCGGGGCGACGCAGGUGGCCGGUGGCGCGCUUCGGCGAGUCGCCGGUUGUUAGCAGCCCCGUCGGUGGCCCGUCGCCAGACCGAGGUAUCGAAACGCCCUUCGGGGCAUUCUCAUCUCCUCGUCGGGACUGACAGUCGCGAGCGAAGGCAGCCGCCUGGCCGCACUCCGGCGGAGUGGGCCAGCGGCCGCCGGUGACAGCGGACCCGUCGGAGGUUGGAGGUUAGCGGCGAGUAGGUCGGUCACCCACCCGACCCGUCUUGAAACACGGACCAAGGAGUCUAACAUGUGCGCGAGUCAAUGGGUCUUGGAACAAGCCCAGUGGCGCAAUGAAAGCGAAUAGGUCGGCUUCGCGCCGUCCGAGUCGGGAUCGGCGCACCGACGACCCGUCCUUUGCGGCUCGCCGCUCGGAUGGAGUGUGAGCGUACACGUUGGGACCCGAAAGAUGGUGAACUAUGCCC